GAUGAACGCUGGCGGCGUGCCUAAUACAUGCAAGUCGAGCGAACAGAUGAGGAGCUUGCUCCGCUGACGUUAGCGGCGGGCGGGUGAGUAACACGUGGAUCACCUACCUAUAAGACUGGGAUAACUUCGGGACACCGGAGCUAAUACCGUAUAAGAUACUGAACCGCAGGGGUCAAUAGUGAAAGACGGCUUUGCUGUCUCGUAUAGAUGGAUCCGCGCCGGAUGAGCUAGUUGGUGGGGUAAAGGGUUAGGAAGGCUACCAGGCGUAUCCGAACUGAGAGGCUGGUAGGCGACCCUGGAGCGUGGACGCGGACCAUACGACUGAGGGAGGGAGCAGUAGGCUACGUUACGCAAUGGGCGAAAGCCUGACGGAGCAACGCCGCGUGAGUGAUGAAGGCCUUCCGAUCGUAAAACUCUGUUAUUAGGGAAGAACCAAUGUGUAAGUAACUAUGCCCGUCUUGACGGUAACGAAUCAGAAAGCCCCGGCUAACUACGUG
rnacentral:rRNA from 1 species